rnacentral:rRNA from 1 species
GCCCUUCCUCCCAACUUAAAGUGCUUUACAAUCCGAAGACCUUCUUCACACACGCGGCAUGGCUGGAUCAGGCUUUCGCCCAUUGUCCAAUAUUCCCCACUGCUGCCUCCCGUAGGAGUCUGGACCGUGUCUCAGUUCCAGUGUGACUGAUCAUCCUCUCAGACCAGUUACGGAUCGUCGCCUUGGUGAGCCAUUACCUCACCAACUAGCUAAUCCGACCUAGGCUCAUCUGAUAGCGCAAGGCCCGAAGGUCCCCUGCUUUCUCCCGUAGGACGUAUGCGGUAUUAGCGUCCCUUUCGAGACGUUGUCCCCCACUACCAGGCAGAUUCCUAGGCAUUACUCACCCGUCCGCCGCUGAAU